rnacentral:rRNA from 1 species
CCGGACCGGCGCACGGGUGAGUAACACGUAUGCAACCUGGCCGUCACAGGUGGAUAACCGGAAGAAAUUCCGACUAAUACAGCAUAACACUCCUGAGGGACAUCCCUUGGGAGUCAAAGGAGGCAACUCCGGUGACGGAUGGGCAUGCGGCGCAUUAGGUAGUUGGUAGGGUAACGGCCUACCAAGCCGACGAUGCGUAGGGGUCUGAGAGGAAGGUCCCCCACAUUGGAACUGAGACACGGUCCAAACUCCUACGGAAGGCAGCAG